GUGAUUAUGCUUUCGUCAUUCACACAAACAAUCUUGUCACUGGUGAUCCUUCAGAAAUACACACAAGAGAUUGUGAAGGGUUUGGGAGAGACCUUGGUUGGAGGAUAUCCAGGACGAGCAAUGAGCUUUAUCACCAAGAAAACAAACCUCAACUCGCCAACCGUGAGAAACAAAAAACAGAUAGUGUUUGCAUGUUAACUCCAGUAAGUAUUUGAGCUGUGCAGGUGAUCAGUAGUUACCCAAGUAAGAGGAUAGUUCUGUACUCUAAACCCUCUAUCAUGUUCUUAGCAGGAAUGUUGUCAAAGUCUGUACACAUUAAUACCAAAUAAUUAGUUUCCCCCUAAGUAA